rnacentral:tRNA from 3 species
GGAGAGUGGAGGGUGCCUGGUGGUCCCCGCGGUCUUCAAAACCGUUGAGAGGUGGUCAAGCCAUCUCUGGUGUGUUCGAUUCGCACCCUCUCCGCCA